AGCGGCAGCCUCAGCAGCCCGGAGCCAGCCUAGUAGCACAGUUGGCUCUGGCUGGCUUCAAGAGCUGCUUGCUGCUUGCUGCCAUGGCGCCCGCCAUUUUUCCUCGCCAGAAGUCCCCAUAUGAUGUGUUGCGCACAAGAUAUGGAGACUUCCCAGAGGCAGACUGGCGGGCGCCACGGCAGCAAGCAGUUCCUGACGCCAGCCAGAGCCAACUGUGCUACCAGGCUGGCUCCAGGCUGCUGACUGCCGCCGCU